GAGCGGCAAGAGGUAGCAAUAAUUCNUAGAGCGGCGGACUGGUGAGUAACGCGUGGGUGACCUGCCCUCAGGUUGGGGAUAGCCGUUAGAAAUAGCGGGUAAUACCGAAUACGGUUGUUGGACUAUGGUCUGGCAAAGAAAGGAGCUAAGGNUCCGCCUGGGGAUGGGCCCGCGUCCUAUUAGGUAGUUGGUGAGGUAAAGGCCCACCAAGCCCGAGAUAGGUAGCCGGCCUGAGAGGGUGAACGGCCACACUGGGACUGAGAUACGGCCCAGANUCCUACGGGAGGCAGCAGCUAAGAAUAUUCCGCAAUGGACGGAAGUCUGACGGAGCGACGCCGCGUGGAUGACGAAGGCCGAAAGGUUGUAAAAUCCUUUUGCCAGUGAAGAAUAAGCGGGGGAGGGAAUGCCCUUGUGAUGACGUUAGUUGGUGAAUGGNCCCCCGGC
rnacentral:rRNA from 1 species